GAUGAGUCCGUACGACACGUCGUCCACUCGGCACGAGUGGCUGCUGAACUGCGUUCCGAGAGUCGAUGCUGAGAGUGCAGCCUAGCGGGAGGUAACUCUCCAGACUAGAUUAUACUGCCGCGAGUCCGAUAGCUACAGUACCGUGAGGGAAAGUGCAAAGACUUUGAGAGAGAGUUCAGAGAACGUGAAACCGCUCGUAGAGAAACGGAUGGGACCUCGAAGGCAAUCGAGUUGGUAGGGACGGGAUUCAGCUUGGUUCGCCGGCCGCAUUGCCGAUUGCCCUGUAGUAGGCUCGCAAGAGCCGACCUGCAGGGCCGUUGGUCGUACUCGGUUGGUCGGCGACUGGGCGCAUUUCCCGAACAGACCCCUACCCUUGAGCACGCUGCAACCGGUUUGGCAUUGGCAAUGAGGCCUUGCGGUGGAAGGUGGCCACGUGCGAGUUGUGCGGUUUCGGCCGUACCACGCCCUUCGGGGGACUCGUCGUGGCGUUACAGUCACUGCGGGCAUCUGGCCAUAGGUUAGACCGAGGGAGAAUAACUUUUACGCCCGCGCACUCGGUGCGCUCGGAGGCUGGUUUGAACGGUUUGCCGCUCCAAGUUGCGGUCUAGGGCCUCGUGCUCAGACCCGGCUAGAGUGGUGGCCGUUUGGCCGGCUGAAGGCCUUGGGCUAGCGGGCUAUGGGUUAGCAGCGAGUAGGUCGGUUCCCCAUCCGACCCGUCUUGAAACACGGACCAAGGAGUCUAACGUACAUGCGAGUCGAAGAGUACUGAGAAACUCAGGGGCGAAAUGAAAGUGAAUUAUUUGGUGGUGCCUAGCACUGCCAGGCGUGAUCCGGCUAGCCACGGCUAGUCGGCGCAACGCCGGCCUGUCCGAGUCCGCGCCUUUCGGGGCCUAGUGACGGCGGGACAGAGUUGGAGCAUGGGCGUUGGGACCCGAAAGAUGGUGAACUAUGCUUGGACAGGACGAAGCCGGAGGAAACUCUGGUGGAGGUCCGAAGCGAUUCUGACGUGCAAAUCGAUCGUCAGAUCUAAGUAUAGGGGCGAAAGACUAAUCGAACCAUCUAGUAGCUGGUUCCUUCCGAAGUUUCCCUCAGGAUAGCUGGCGUUUGAUCGCAGUUUCAUCCGGUAAAGCGAAUGAUUAGAGGCUUACUGGGGCCGAAACGGCCUCGACCUAUUCUCAAACUUUAAAUGGGUGAGAAGCUCGGCUUUCUUAACUGAAGCUCGAGUCAGGAAUUGACGGUAGAAUGCGAACGGCCAAGUGGGCCAUUUUUGGUAAGCAGAACUGGCGAUGCGGGAUGAACCGAAAGGCGAGUUACGGUGCCCGACGCGACGCUUAUGAGACCCCAUGAAAGGCGUUAGUUGCUACAGACAGCAGGACGGUGGCCAUGGAAGUCGGAAUCCGCUAAGGAGUGUGUAACAACUCACCUGCCGAAGCAACUAGCCCUGAAAAUGGAUGGCGCUUCAGCGUCGAACCUAAACUCGGCCGUCGGGGCAAAAUGUAGAUUGUUUCGAGCAAUCGAAAAACACGCUUCGACGUGUAGGAAGGUCGCGGCAAUUGCGCAGAAGGUGUCUGGCGCAGGCCAGCCCGAAGCUUUUGCCGGCGCAGAUCUUGGUGGUAGUAGCAAAGAUACGAGCGAGAUCCUCGUAGGCUGAAGUGGAGAAGGGUUCCACGCGAACAGCGGUUGAACGUGGGUCAGUCGAUCCUAAAGUCGACGAGAAAUCCGUUUAAAGCGGAGCAUUUAAAAACGAAAAAGUUUCUAAACAAGAAGCUCCCUUUCGACUGAAAGGGAAUCGGGUUAAUAUUCCCGAACCUGGUCGUGGAAAURGCCCCGGACCGRYUUCGGUCGGUUAUCGGGGCGAGUGCGGUAACGCAAACCKACUCGGAGACGUCAGCRAGAGUCCYGGGAAGAGUUGUCUUUUCUUYGUAAGGSACGGACUCCSUGGAAUCGGCCUAGCCGGAGAKAGGGACGUUGUUSCCCAAAAGCACCGCGGCUCUCGCGGUGUCCGGUGCGCUCUCGUUGGCCCUUGAAAAUCCGAGGGAGAGAGUUAGCUUUUUCACGCCAGAUCGUACCCAUAUCCGCAGCAGGUCUCCGAGGUGAACAGCYUCUAGYCGAUAGAAUAAUGUAGGUAAGGGAAGUCGGCAAAUUGGAUCCGUAACUUUGGGAAAAGGAUUGGCUCUGAGGGUCGAGCCUGUCGGGCUGGAACGAAAAGUCGGUACGGUGUCUUGCCGGGACUGGGCUACGGACUGCUUUGAGUUUCGGCUCUUAGCUUGGCUGUGGCUCGGACUAGCGCGAGGACCUGCCGAUGGACUAUUCCAGCUAUGCGGCCGGUGAGAGUGCUUGGUUCACGCCAGGUGCUUGAGCCGAUCAACCGCUUCGGCAGGCAUUUAACGGCCGACUCAGAACUGGCACGGACCGGGAGAAUCCGACUGUCUAAUUAAAACAAAGCAUUGCGAUGGCCGUUGGACGGUGUUGACGCAAUGUGAUUUCUGCUCAGUGCUCUGAAUGUCAAAGUGAAGAAAUUCAAUGAAGCGCGAGUAAACAGCGGGGGUAACUAUGACCCUCUUAAGGUAGCCAAAUGCCUCGUCAUCUAAUUAGUGACGCGCAUGAAUGGAUUAACGAGAUUCUCACUUUCCCUAUCUACUAUCUAGCGAAACCACAGCCAAGGGAACGGGCUUGGCAGAAUCAGCGGGGAAAGAAGACCCUGUUGAGCUUGACUCUAGUCCGACUGAGUGAAGAGACACGAGAGGUGUAGAAUAAGUGGGAGACUCGGGGCCUCGGUCCUGACGUCGCCGGUGAAAUACCACUACUUUGGUCGUUUCUUCACUUACUCGGUUAAGCGGAAGAAGGCGGCCGGCCUGUCGUGCCCGGUCUCGUGCCGUGGUAACGGGGCUUGGUGCCGCCAGUCUUUUGGAAUAGAAACGUUUCUAUCUCGCACUCGUCUCUUACGGUGCCGGCAUUGGCCUCGGUUAGUGUCGGUGUCUUGCGAGAUGCCUGUGGCGGGCCAGGGGCUAGUCGUGAGAGAGGUCCCUGGCACAUACCGUUCAGGACUAUGAGCAAACGUGAUCCGUCCCAGAUUGCCC
rnacentral:rRNA from 1 species